rnacentral:snRNA from 1 species
GAGAAGAUUAGCAUGGCCCCUGCACAAGGAUGACACGCACAUUUGUGAUGCAGUCCAUAUUUUU